rnacentral:miRNA from 1 species
GUGAUCAAGAAUUAUAUCCAGG